AUUGAACGCUGGCGGCAGGCCUAACACAUGCAAGUCGAACGGUAACAGGAAGCAGCUUGCUGCUUCGCUGACGAGUGGCGGACGGGUGAGUAAUGUCUGGGAAGCUGCCUGAUGGAGGGGGAUAACUACUGGAAACGGUAGCUAAUACCGCAUAAUGUCGCAAGACCAAAGAGGGGGACCUUCGGGCCUCUUGCCAUCGGAUGUGCCCAGAUGGGAUUAGCUUGUUGGUGGGGUAACGGCUCACCAAGGCGACGAUCCCUAGCUGGUCUGAGAGGAUGACCAGCCACACUGGAACUGAGACACGGUCCAGACUCCUACGGGAGGCAGCAGUGGGGAAUAUUGCACAAUGGGCGCAAGCCUGAUGCAGCCAUGCCGCGUGUAUGAAGAAGGCCUUCGGGUUGUAAAGUACUUUCAGCGGGGAGGAAGGGAGUAAAGUUAAUACCUUUGCUCAUUGACGUUACCCGCAGAAGAAGCACCGGCUAACUCCGUGCCAGCAGCCGCGGUAAUACGGAGGGUGCAAGCGUUAAUCGGAAUUACUGGGCGUAAAGCGCACGCAGGCGGUUUGUUAGGUCAGAUGUGAAAUCCCCGGGCUCAACCUGGGAACUGCAUCUGAUACUGGCAAGCUUGAGUCUCGUAGAGGGGGGUAGAAUUCCAGGUGUAGCGGUGAAAUGCGUAGAGAUCUGGAGGAAUACCGGUGGCGAAGGCGGCCCCCUGGACGAAGACUGACGCUCAGGUGCGAAAGCGUGGGGAGCAAACAGGAUUAGAUACCCUGGUAGUCCACGCCGUAAACGAUGUCGACUUGGAGGUUGUGCCCUUGAGGCGUGGCUUCCGGAGCUAACGCGUUAAGUCGACCGCCUGGGGAGUACGGCCGCAAGGUUAAAACUCAAAUGAAUUGACGGGGGCCCGCACAAGCGGUGGAGCAUGUGGUUUAAUUCGAUGCAACGCGAAGAACCUUACCUGGUCUUGACAUCCACGGAAGUUUUCAGAGAUGAGAAUGUGCCUUCGGGAACCGUGAGACAGGUGCUGCAUGGCUGUCGUCAGCUCGUGUUGUGAAAUGUUGGGUUAAGCACGGAACGCAGCCCAUCCCUUUCUUUGGCUUCCAUCCGUCCGGGGGGGCACUCAGAGGAGACCACCAGUAACAAACAGGAGGAAGGGGGGGAUGACAUCAAAUCAUCAUCCCCCCGACCAGCAGGGCUCCACACGUGCAACAAUGCACAAAACAAAAAGCAGCGUCGCGAGAGCAGCGAGCACAUCAUCAAAAGCGUGGUAGUCUGGAGAGGAGUCUGCAGCAUCUCCUCCACAGGAUGUGGGUAGCUAUUGAAGGUGGAGAUCAACACCACGCGGAA
rnacentral:rRNA from 1 species